CAGAGGUGGCAAGCGUUGUUCGGAAUUACUGGGCGUAAAGGGCGCGUAGGCGGCCUUGUGAGUCAGACGUGAAAUCCCCAGGCUUAACUUGGGAACUGCGUCUGAUACUGCAAGGCUCGAGUGAGGGAGAGGGAUGUGGAAUUCCAGGUGUAGCGGUGAAAUGCGUAGAUAUCUGGAGGAACACCGGUGGCGAAGGCGGCAUCCUGGACCGACACUGACGCUGAGGCGCGAAAGCUAGGGGAGCAAACGGGAUUAGAUACCCCGGUAGUCCUAGCCCUAAACGAUGAGUGCUUGGUGUGGCGGGUAUCGAUCCCUGCCGUGCCGAAGCUAACGCAUUAAGCACUCCGCCUGGGGAGUACGGUCGCAAGGCUG
rnacentral:rRNA from 1 species